rnacentral:rRNA from 1 species
GACAGAGGGGCAAGCGUUGCUCGGAAUUACUGGGCGUAAAGGGCGCGUAGGCGGAAUGGCAAGUCGGUUGUGAAAUCCUUCGGCUCAACCGAAGAACGUCGAUCGAAACUGCCGUUCUUGAGGAUUGCAGAGGAGACUGGAAUUCCCGGUGUAGCGGUGAAAUGUGUAGAGAUCCGGAGGACACCGAAGGCGAAGGCAGUCUCCUGGCAAGUUACUGACGCUCAGGUGCGAAAGCUAGGGAGCGAACGAGG